GCAAACUUUAGAUGCAGGAAGGAUCGGAAUAGCUUCGCAAGCAUUGGGCAUUGCUCAGGCUUCUCUUGACUGUGCAGUUGACUAUGCGAUGAAGAGACAAUCUUUUGGAAUGCCUAUUGCUAAAAUGCAAACUAUUCAG
rnacentral:sRNA from 1 species